rnacentral:lncRNA from 1 species
GUGAGCAAUCAAAAGGAAAAGAAGAAAAAGGCAAAAGAAAAGAAAAAGGUGAGAAAAGAAAAAUUCAAAGAAGAAAAAGAAAGAGCUCACUGCAAGGGAAGGCUGGGAAAAAGAUCAGAGAGUUGUUCUUGAAAGAAGAAUUCACAAAUGUCUCUCUUAACUCAAGGAACUUUGCUGACCAGAAAAACCAAUUUCCUUCUUAGCCCAGCCAAGUUACAAGCCAUG